GAACUGACUACCUUAAUUUUCAAAAUUUCAAAUUUCAAACGAAUAAAUGCCGUAAAUUUAAAAAUUGAACCUUUGGUUUUAAGUACAUAAAAGCCUACAAAAUGUUUUUCUCUUGAAAAUAUUCGAAAUAUUGCGAAGAAGCCAAUUUAGAAAAAUUGCUUGAAGAAUAUCUGUGUGAACGUAAUGGGCGACCGCAAAAGGAAAACUGUAACAAAAAGCGACGAAAAGUAUCCGCGUAUAAGCUCAGACUAAAUGUUAAUACUUUUAAACUAUUGCCAAAUUAUAUCCCAACAUAUACCAAUUCCAGAGCCUGUUGCUUUAUGAACGAGCUUAACACAAGCAGCUGUUCCCCAUAAUUACACAAUCCGAUUUUUUAGCGGCAAUUCUAAGAGAUCAAAGAAAACACGUUUAAAAAUUCUAGUAUUAUGGUUCCAAGCACAUGCAUUCAUAUGUAUGUACAUUUAUGGC
rnacentral:lncRNA from 1 species